rnacentral:rRNA from 1 species
UACGGGAGGCAGCAGUGGGGAAUAUUGCACAAUGGGCGAAAGCCUGAUGCAGCUAUGCCGCGUGUAUGAAGAAGGCCUUAGGGUUGUAAAGUACUUUCAUCGGGGAGGAAAAACAAAACUAAUAAUUUUAUUUCUUGACGUUACCCGAAAAAGAAGCACCGGCUAACUCCGUGCCAGCAGCCGCGGUAAUACGGAGGGUGCUAGCGUUAAUCAGAAUUACUGGGCGUAAAGAGCACGUAGGUGGUUUUUUUAAGUCAGAUGUGAAAUCCCUGGGCUUAACCUGGAAACUGCAUUUUGAAACUGAAAUACUAGAGUAUCGUAGAGGGAGGUAGAAUUCUAGGUGUAGCGGUGAAAUGCGUAGAUAUCUGGAGGAAUACCUGUGGCGAAAGCGGCCUCCUAAACGAAUACUGACACUGAGGUGCGAAAGCGUGGGGAGCAAAACAGGGAUUAGAU